UUACAUUUGGAGUAUUGCAAUUCUUGUACAACGUUAUUUUUUUCUCAUCACCAACUGCAUCCUCAGUUCACUCUAUGAACAACUUUAGCAAGUCAUACCCCAAGGCCUACUUCACCUGCCCAGAGGGUAUUGCAUGCUGUCAUCUAAUGUUCUCGGCUUGCUGUCAAACUACGCAAUCAGCAGCACCAACGGCAACCGCACCGGCGGCAACAACGGCAGCAAGUCAUGUUAUCAGCACACACACACACUGCAGCUGCAUAAUCACUAAUCACUGAGCGUUAUGAGAGUGCCGAACACAGCAACGAGCGCAGCGAGCACAGCAAACAACGUGAGUGCCAAGACAAGACGUGAGAGACGACGAGAUGCAGCCACCAACAACAGCAGCAGCAGCAGCAAGCAUUGGGGCAAGGCCAGAACAACGGCCGCAUUCUCAGCAUAGUUCUUCGAGUGGUUUGCCAUACAAAUCAAAAUUAGAUCUAUUUUAUCUAACGACUUUGAAGUACCCUGUUGAAAAUAGUGCAGCUCUAAUGAAAUUAAAAUUGUUCUACAAGCAUCUGAAUACUUAUUUCUGAAUAUUUGUAAAUUAAAAAUAAAAUACUAAAAUAUUU